rnacentral:rRNA from 1 species
AACGAACGCUGGCGGCAUGCCUAACACAUGCAAGUCGAACGAAAACUUCGGGUCUAGUGGCGCACGGGUGCGUCACGCGUGGGAACCUGCCCUUAGGUUCGGCCUAACUCCCCGACAGGGGUGCUAAUACCGGAUAAUGUCUUCGGCCCAAAGAUUUAUCGCCUUUGGAUGGGCCCUCGUUGGAUUAGCUAGUUGGUAGGGUAAAAGCCUCCCACGGCGCCGAUCCAUAGCUGGUCUGAGAGAAUGAUCAGCAACACUUGGACUGAGACACGGCCGAGACUCCUACGCGAGACAGCAGUGGGGGAUAUUGGACAAUCGGCGGAAGCCUGAUCCAGCAAUGCCGGGUGAGUGAUGAAGGUCUUAGGGUUGUAAAGCGCUUUUACCCGUGAUGAUAAUGACAGUACCGGGAGAAUAAGCUCCGGCUAACUCCGUG